rnacentral:rRNA from 1 species
GGUUAAGCGACCAAGCGUACACGGUGGAUGCCCUGGCAGUCAGAGGCGAUGAAGGACGUGCUAAUCUGCGAAAAGCGCCGGUAAGGUGAUAUGAACCGUUAUAGCCGGCGAUGUCCGAAUGGGGAAACCCAGUGUGUUUCGACACACUAUCAUUAACUGAAUCCAUAGGUUAAUGAGGCGAACCGGGGGAACUGAAACAUCUAAGUACCCCGAGGAAAAGAAAUCAACCGAGAUUCCCCCAGUAGCGGCGAGCGAACGGGGAGGAGCCCAGAGCCUGAAUCAGCAUGUGUGUUAGUGGAAGCGUCUGGAAAGGCGCGCGAUACAGGGUGACAGCCCCGUACACAAAAGCGCACGUGCUGUGAGCUCGAUGAGUAGGGCGGGACACGUGGUAUCCUGUCUGAAUAUGGGGGGACCAUCCUCCAAGGCUAAAUACUCCUGACUGACCGAUAGUGAACCAGUACCGUGAGGGAAAGGCGAAAAGAACCCCGGCGAGGGGAGUGAAACAGAACCUGAAACCGUGUACGUACAAGCAGUGGGAGC